UGCAUUCACUACUGUAAAUCGCUCUGGAUAAGAACGUCUGCUAAAUGACUAAAA
rfam:Salmo salar isolate Sally breed double haploid chromosome ssa14, whole genome shotgun sequence.